ACUUGAGCUGGUAAUCUCGAGAGGCUAUGCCAGCGUAACCGAUCGCGUAGGUCACGGGGCUCUAACCAGAGGACGUUACUAACACUAGCUCUAGCAAGAGUAGUUCGCAGAAUCUAUCACCGGAUCGCAAACGUGACCCAUUGAGAAGAUCCGGCGAGAAACUCAGUGGGCUUAAAAUAAUAGAAACAUGACAGUGACUGGCCGUAACGCUUAACAGAUACCAAGCUGCACUGCAAAUGUGAUCAUUCCCGAUCCUGCGGAAAGAAUGGAAAGCAGUCGACGUCGCCCCAAACACGUCAUUUCGGAAACCCCGAUCCACUAACGGAGCUUUUAGGUACCUCAAGCACCGGUCACCGUUCUCGUCGAACCCGUCGCUUGCGAAGAAGGGCUCGAACCAGAAUAUGCUUUUUCCAAAACCUAUUAUGGUUCACUUGAGAAGGCAAUCAAUUCUCUUUGAGAAUUACCCGCCAAAAUAUGUAGUUUACGUCUGUUAAAAAUAACAGCGAUGUGCUUAUUGACAACAAUGUGAAUAGUAAGUAGGUAAUGUUUUUUUCAUAUCCAGUCCAGUUAGCUAUUUAAGUCCAUAAUUAAGUCCAUUUAGUUAAUUUAAUACAUUAAUAUUACACUUAAAAAAAACAAAAACAAGCAAUAAGACAUCUUGAGUUGUUUAGCUCGCGUUCGCGCGUUGAUCCAUUAAGAUAUUUGACAAGGUUGAACAUUUACAAGAUUAACUACGAAAACAAGAUCACGCCACUCUUUUCGUUUCUUUCUAUUAUAUGUUUCUCUUUCGCACUAUUGAUAAAAUAAAAGAAUGAGGAUAGA